rnacentral:rRNA from 1 species
UUUAGAGGAAGUAAAAGUCGUAACAAGGUUUCCGUAGGUGAACCUGCGGAAGGAUCAUUAUUGAAUAAAGCUUGGUUAGGUUGUCGCUGGCUCUCCGGGGCAUGUGCACGCCUGACGCCAAUCUUUUCACCACCUGUGCACAUUUUGUAGGCUUGGAUAAAUAUGUCUCGAGGAAGCUCGGUUUGAGGACUGCCGUGCUGCAAAAGCCAGGCUUUCCUUGUAUUUUUCCAGCCUAUGCAUUUUAUUAUACACUCGGUAUGUCAUGGAAUGUUAUUUGGUUGGCUUAAUUGCCAGUAAACCUUAUACAACUUUCAACAACGGAUCUCUUGGCUCUCGCAUCGAUGAAGAACGCAGCGAAAUGCGAUAAGUAAUGUGAAUUGCAGAAUUCAGUGAAUCAUCGAAUCUUUGAACGCACCUUGCGCUCCUUGGUAUUCCGAGGAGCAUGCCUGUUUGAGUGUCAUGAAAUUCUCAACCUUUUCAGCUUUUUGUUGAAUAGGCUUGGAUUUUGGGAGUUGUUGCAGGCUGCUCAGAAGUCUGCUCUCCUUAAAUGUAUUAGCGGGGCCCUUGUUGUCUAGCAUUUGGUGUGAUAAUUAUCUACGCCAUUGUGAACAAUGUAAUAGGUCGGCUUCUAAUCGUCUCGUAAAGAGACAAUCUCUGACAUUUUGACCUCAAAUCAGGUAGGACUACCCGCUGAACUUAAGCAUAUCAAUAAGCGGAGGAAAAGAAACUAACAAGGAUUCCCCUAGUAACUGCGAGUGAAGCGGGAAAAGCUCAAAUUUAAAAUCUGAUGGUCUUUAUGGCCUUCCGAGUUGUAAUCUAGAGAAGUGCUAUCCGCGCUGGACCGUGUACAAGUCUCCUGGAACGGAGCGUCAUAGAGGGUGAGAAUCCCGUCUUUGCCACGGACUACCAGGGCUUAUGUGAUGCGCUCUCAAAGAGUCGAGUUGUUUGGGAAUGCAGCUCUAAAUGGGUGGUAAAUUCCAUCUAAAGCUAAAUAUUGGCGAGAGACCGAUAGCGA